rnacentral:rRNA from 1 species
AUGGCAUCCCACGACGACGACCAAGACCUCGUGGUCUACGGGACGCCCAUCGAGCGGGAGGAGGACAUCUCCGCCCGCAAGCGCCGCGCCGUCGCCGACGCAGGCCAGCUCCGGGCCCUCCCCGCCUGGAAGCAGGAGGUCAGGGAUGAGGAAGGGCGGAGAAGAUUUCAUGGUGCAUUUACUGGAGGCUUCUCUGCUGGCUUUUACAAUACUGCUGGCUCAAAAGAGGGAUGGACGCCACAGACAUUCACAUCUUCACGAAAAAGUAGAGCUGAGCAUAAAAAACAAAGCAUAUAUAAUUUUCUUGAUGAGGAAGAUAUCAAGGAUAUGGGAGGUAAUGCCUUGGAAACAUCUCAACAGUAUGAUACAUUCGGUUUUACGGCUGCAGAGCAUGCCAGAAAACAAGCAUCCAAGGAACAAAAUGAGAGACCAUCAGCUAUUCCUGGACCUGUUCCUGAUGAAUUGGUGGUCCCCGCCACAACCUCGAUUGGCGUGAAGUUACUGAUGAAAAUGGGCUGGCGCCAAGGUCGUACCAUCAAGGAUGCACAUGCUGACUCCUUAUAUGAGUCACGUAGGGAAGCUAGAAAAGCGUUUCUUGCACUCUCUGGUGUCAGUAACGAUGAGGAUCAAGAUCAAAUUGCUUCUCAGAAAUCUAGAGUGGAUGAAAAUGUCGCAGAAUCAUUUGACAAAAUAAGCGCUUCAGGAAAUACCCCAGUGUAUGUACUUCAUCCAAAGGAAGAUCUGCAUGGUUUAGGUUUUGACCCAUUCAAGCAUGCGCCUGAGUUUAAAGAUAGGAAAAGAUCACACAAAUCAAUGAACAGGGACCGAAACCGAAGUGAUGUUUCCGUGAGGGGAAGUCUCCUGAUUUCAAACUCAGGACAAUAUGCUCCUGGCUUUGGAAUUGGAGCACUCGAAGAGCUUGGUGUUGAAGAUGAGGAUAUUUAUGCAUCAGGUUUCAAUUAUGAACAAACAGAAGUUGAUAUCGAGCCUUCAAAAACAUCUGGUGACAGUAAGUUUAAACUUGAAGACAAGAAGAGAGGUUUCUUCCUGAGCUUUAAAAUUGCCUCAAAUUCCGAGUACAAACUCGAAAGAUUUCAUCCUCCUGAGAUCCCAGCUGAUUUUGAUGGUCGCCAUAAGUUCUCAAGUCCAAUUCAGACAGCUGAUAAGUUCUCUGAUCUAGCUCCUCCUGAGGUUGCUCCUCCAGAAGACACUACCUUGAGAUUAUUGAUUGAGGGCUGUGCUGCUAUGGUUGCUCGUUGCGGGAAACAUAUAGAGGAUUUCUACAAAGAGAAAAGUAAAGCAAGUCCACAGUUUCUUUUCCUCGAUGGAGGAGAUGGAUGUAGCUACUACACAAGGAAGUUAUGGGAGCAUCAGCAGAAGUUUAUUGACCGGCAAAGACCUGAUGCUGUUAAGUCGAAGCCUUCUUCUGACAAGUUGACAGCUGAGAAUCGUGGAACUAUUCUUGGUGAAAAGCCUCUUGAUAGAAGCUCUAAAUCAUCUAGCUCAUUUGUUUCUGCAAAAGAAGCUGUUCAACUACAAUCAAAUCUUGGUGACACCUUUGUGAAGCCAAUAUCUCUUGAUGGCGUGCCAGAGUCAAAGAAACCUUUUAGAAAUGAGCCAGCAAAGCAGGCAAGGUUUGAGCAGUUUCUAAAGGAGAAAUAUCAGGGUGGUCUUCGUAUUGCAAGUCUUGCUCCUACAAUUACAAUGUCGGAGGCUGAUCGUGCUCGUGAAAGACUAGAUUUUGAGGCUGCCGCAGAUGCAAUUGAAAAAGGAAAAGAAUAUAAGGCUAUAGAUCCUUUGUCAAUAUUGGGUUUACCUGGAUUGAAUGAGCAACGCUUUGUUUCAUCCACUCAAUUAGAGAGCUCUGCGGUACUCCAAGAUGAGAGGCCCAUGUAUCCACAGAGGGAGGAGUUCGAAUGGCGGCCUUCACCAAUACUGUGCAAGCGUUUUGAUAUUGUUGACCCUUUCAUGGGAAAGCCAAUGCCUCUUCGAAGACCAAUAAGCAAGAUGGACACCCUUAUGUUUAUGACCGAGUCCACCAAAAAGAUAAAUGAAGAUGUAAGGGGCUCAAGUACUAUUCCACAAAAUGCUGCUGUGUCAGGAACAGAAGAGGUAGAGGCACAGGAAACUGCAAAUAACCCUGAUAUUGUGGCAAGCAGUAUGCAGAGGCCUGUUGAUCUUUACAAGGCAAUCUUUUCUGAUGAUUCAGACGAUGAUAUGGACGAACCUCUUAACAAUCAACAAGUGGAUCCAGUGAAGACGAGUGAAGGUGCCAACAUGGCUCUUAAUCGUCUUGUUGCUGAGGAUUUCCUGGAAUCUUUGGGUAAAGAACUGGGAUUGGAGGUUCCUGCAGAGAAACCUGCCCAGCCACCGAAUGUCUUAUUUAGAUCAGAAAUCCUUCCAACAGCUGAUGCAAGUGUAUCUAGGAAUGGCCAGACAUCUACUUUUAGGGAGAUAAAGGAGAACGAGUGUUCUUUGGGUUUGAUGGAAGCUGCCAAUGGUAAUGGGGACGGUCCUUCAUCCAAUGUCGAAAAGCUUGAUUUGAAAUAUGAGCAUAGUGCUGACAUAGGCCGGUCACACUCUUCACAUCGUCAGAUUCGGAACGGUAGUCCAGAGUCUGAUACUUCUAUUGAACGGCAUAGGAGUAGGAAAAGAAGAUCCCAUCAUCGAAAUCGGAGUCCAACACCCGAUUCUGGUUCUUCUGAUGAACGACGUAGUGGUAAGAAAAGAAAGUCACAUUCAAGGCAUAGAGCAGGCAGGAGUAGAACUCCUGAUGCCGAUUUGUCCUCUGACAGUCAAAAGAAUAAGAGAAAACGUCGGGAGAAAAGGAGUCAUCGGACCCGCAUGUCUGACAGUGAUUCUAGUGAUCAUGAAUACAAGGAAAAAUAUACAUCUAGUAGUAGAAGAUCAUCUGAUAAAGACAGAAGUAGAAAGCAUUCUAAACACCGCAGGCACAGAAGAAAAGACUCUGCAUAG